rfam:Erinaceus europaeus unplaced genomic scaffold scaffold00140, whole genome shotgun sequence
GGAUGUGAGGGCUAUCUGGCUACGACAUCUGUCACCCCAUUGAUCGCCAGGGUUGAUUUGGCUGAUCCGGCUGGCUAGGCGGGUGUCCCCUUCCUCCCUUACUACUCCCCCCUCAAGCUGAGUACUCAGUGGAAGACAAAGGCCUUCCCCAAAUAGAGAUGGACCUGUCCUCCUCGAGGGUAUUGGAGUGGCUGCACUCCCCUGCUACAACCUCCAGACAAGCUCUCAAGGUCCAUUUGUAAAGAACCUAAGGUAGUCAAGCUCCCAAAACUCCAGACAGUCAGCCCAUUGCUUAUAGAUAAUAUUUAUUUUAAGCUCAUG